rnacentral:rRNA from 1 species
CUUGUGCUAUUGGAAUGGCCGAUAUCUGAUUAGCUAGUUGGUAGGGUAAAAGCCUACCAAGGCGACGAUCAGUAGCUGGUCUGAGAGGACGACCAGCCACACUGGAACUGAGACACGGUCCAGACUCCUACGGGAGGCAGCAGUGGGGAAUUUUGGACAAUGGGGGCAACCCUGAUCCAGCAAAGGCGCGUGAGUGAAGAAGGCCCUCGGGUUGUAAAGCUCAAGGUCAGGGAAGAAACGGAGUUCUCUAAUAUA